rnacentral:misc_RNA from 1 species
GAAAUGCGAUACGUAAUGCGAAUUGCAGAAUUCAGUGAAUCAUCAAAUCUUUGAACGCAAAUGGCACUGUCGGGAUAGGCCUGGCAGUACGUUUCUUUCAGCGUCGUUUCAACAACACUCAGGCUGCGCCUGGACAAUGAGUGUCACAAUCUUCGGAGUGUGUCACUUUAAAUUUCGCGGAACGGCAUGUGCUUUAGCACACUGCACUUAUUGUACUCGACAGUGACGUGGGUAAUUUCACUCUUGUGAAUCUUUACGUGACUGUUUGAAGAACGGUGUAUGUGCGGCUUGGCGCAAGAGUCUAACCGUCCUUGAAGGGUUCGCUCUUCAACUUAUUUUCGACUCAGACCUGAAAUGAAGCGAGAUUACCCGCCGAACUUAA